GGUUUCAUAACGCAGAGAAUC
rnacentral:miRNA from 1 species